rnacentral:rRNA from 3 species
UUAAGCGACUAAGCGUACACGGUGGAUGCCCUGGCAGUCAGAGGCGAUGAAGGACGUGCUAAUCUGCGAUAAGCGUCGGUAAGGUGAUAUGAACCGUUAUAACCGGCGAUUUCCGAAUGGGGAAACCCAGUGUGUUUCGACACACUAUCAUUAACUGAAUCCAUAGGUUAAUGAGGCGAACCGGGGGAACUGAAACAUCUAAGUACCCCGAGGAAAAGAAAUCAACCGAGAUUCCCCCAGUAGCGGCGAGCGAACGGGGAGCAGCCCAGAGCCUGAAUCAGUGUGUGUGUUAGUGGAAGCGUCUGGAAAGGCGCGCGAUACAGGGUGACAGCCCCGUACACAAAAAUGCACAUGCUGUGAGCUCGAUGAGUAGGGCGGGACACGUGGUAUCCUGUCUGAAUAUGGGGGGACCAUCCUCCAAGGCUAAAUACUCCUGACUGACCGAUAGUGAACCAGUACCGUGAGGGAAAGGCGAAAAGAACCCCGGCGAGGGGAGUGAAAAAGAACCUGAAACCGUGUACGUACAAGCAGUGGGAGCACGCUUAGGCGUGUGACUGCGUACCUUUUGUAUAAUGGGUCAGCGACUUAUAUUCUGUAGCAAGGUUAACCGAAUAGGGGAGCCGAAGGGAAACCGAGUCUUAACUGGGCGUUAAGUUGCAGGGUAUAGACCCGAAACCCGGUGAUCUAGCCAUGGGCAGGUUGAAGGUUGGGUAACACUAACUGGAGGACCGAACCGACUAAUGUUGAAAAAUUAGCGGAUGACUUGUGGCUGGGGGUGAAAGGCCAAUCAAACCGGGAGAUAGCUGGUUCUCCCCGAAAGCUAUUUAGGUAGCGCCUCGUGAAUUCAUCUCCGGGGGUAGAGCACUGUUUCGGCAAGGGGGUCAUCCCGACUUACCAACCCGAUGCAAACUGCGAAUACCGGAGAAUGUUAUCACGGGAGACACACGGCGGGUGCUAACGUCCGUCGUGAAGAGGGAAACAACCCAGACCGCCAGCUAAGGUCCCAAAGUCAUGGUUAAGUGGGAAACGAUGUGGGAAGGCCCAGACAGCCAGGAUGUUGGCUUAGAAGCAGCCAUCAUUUAAAGAAAGCGUAAUAGCUCACUGGUCGAGUCGGCCUGCGCGGAAGAUGUAACGGGGCUAAACCAUGCACCGAAGCUGCGGCAGCGACGCUGAUGCGUUGUUGGGUAGGGGAGCGUUCUGUAAGCCUGCGAAGGUGUGCUGUGAGGCAUGCUGGAGGUAUCAGAAGUGCGAAUGCUGACAUAAGUAACGAUAAAGCGGGUGAAAAGCCCGCUCGCCGGAAGACCAAGGGUUCCUGUCCAACGUUAAUCGGGGCAGGGUGAGUCGACCCCUAAGGCGAGGCCGAAAGGCGUAGUCGAUGGGAAACAGGUUAAUAUUCCUGUACUUGGUGUUACUGCGAAGGGGGGACGGAGAAGGCUAUGUUGGCCGGGCGACGGUUGUCCCGGUUUAAGCGUGUAGGCUGGUUUUCCAGGCAAAUCCGGAAAAUCAAGGCUGAGGCGUGAUGACGAGGCACUACGGUGCUGAAGCAACAAAUGCCCUGCUUCCAGGAAAAGCCUCUAAGCAUCAGGUAACAUCAAAUCGUACCCCAAACCGACACAGGUGGUCAGGUAGAGAAUACCAAGGCGCUUGAGAGAACUCGGGUGAAGGAACUAGGCAAAAUGGUGCCGUAACUUCGGGAGAAGGCACGCUGAUAUGUAGGUGAAGUCCCUUGCGGAUGGAGCUGAAAUCAGUCGAAGAUACCAGCUGGCUGCAACUGUUUAUUAAAAACACAGCACUGUGCAAACACGAAAGUGGACGUAUACGGUGUGACGCCUGCCCGGUGCCGGAAGGUUAAUUGAUGGGGUCAGCGCAAGCGAAGCUCUUGAUCGAAGCCCCGGUAAACGGCGGCCGUAACUAUAACGGUCCUAAGGUAGCGAAAUUCCUUGUCGGGUAAGUUCCGACCUGCACGAAUGGCGUAAUGAUGGCCAGGCUGUCUCCACCCGAGACUCAGUGAAAUUGAACUCGCUGUGAAGAUGCAGUGUACCCGCGGCAAGACGGAAAGACCCCGUGAACCUUUACUAUAGCUUGACACUGAACAUUGAGCCUUGAUGUGUAGGAUAGGUGGGAGGCUUUGAAGUGUGGACGCCAGUCUGCAUGGAGCCGACCUUGAAAUACCACCCUUUAAUGUUUGAUGUUCUAACGUUGACCCGUAAUCCGGGUUGCGGACAGUGUCUGGUGGGUAGUUUGACUGGGGCGGUCUCCUCCUAAAGAGUAACGGAGGAGCACGAAGGUUGGCUAAUCCUGGUCGGACAUCAGGAGGUUAGUGCAAUGGCAUAAGCCAGCUUGACUGCGAGCGUGACGGCGCGAGCAGGUGCGAAAGCAGGUCAUAGUGAUCCGGUGGUUCUGAAUGGAAGGGCCAUCGCUCAACGGAUAAAAGGUACUCCGGGGAUAACAGGCUGAUACCGCCCAAGAGUUCAUAUCGACGGCGGUGUUUGGCACCUCGAUGUCGGCUCAUCACAUCCUGGGGCUGAAGUAGGUCCCAAGGGUAUGGCUGUUCGCCAUUUAAAGUGGUACGCGAGCUGGGUUUAGAACGUCGUGAGACAGUUCGGUCCCUAUCUGCCGUGGGCGCUGGAGAACUGAGGGGGGCUGCUCCUAGUACGAGAGGACCGGAGUGGACGCAUCACUGGUGUUCGGGUUGUCAUGCCAAUGGCACUGCCCGGUAGCUAAAUGCGGAAGAGAUAAGUGCUGAAAGCAUCUAAGCACGAAACUUGCCCCGAGAUGAGUUCUCCCUGACUCCUUGAGAGUCCUGAAGGAACGUUGAAGACGACGACGUUGAUAGGCCGGGUGUGUAAGCGCAGCGAUGCGUUGAGCUAACCGGUACUAAUGAACCGUGAGGCUUAACCUU